rnacentral:rRNA from 1 species
GUGAAUUUUUAACGGCCGCGGUAUCCUGACCGUGCGAAGGUAGCGUAAUCAAUUGUUUUUUAAUAGAAGGCCCGUAUGAAAGGCAUCACGAGAGUUUAACUGUCUCUAUUUUCCAAUCAAUGAAAUUGAUCCCCUCGUGCAGAAGCGAGAAUAAAAACAUAAGACGAGAAGACCCUAUGGAGCUUUAAACACUUAAGCUACCUUUAAAAUAAUACCAACCCAUUCUCCGGACAUAAACAAAAAAUUAAAUCCCUAGCUUAACUUGUUUUUGGUUGGGGCGACCAAGGGGAAAAACAAAACCCCCUUAUCGAAUGUGUGAGAUAUCACUUAAAAAUUAGAAUUACCAUUCUAAUUAGUAGAAAAUCUAACGAUCAAUGACCCAGGAAACAAUAUCCUGAUCAAUGAACCAAGUUACCCUAGGGAUAACAGCGCAAUCCUUU